rnacentral:pre_miRNA from 1 species
AGUGGGAUAACUGGGUCAAAUGGUGCUUCCUUUCUAAAUUUUCUGAGGAACCUCCAUACUGUUUUCCACAGUGGUUGCACCAAUUUGCCGUCCCACCAGCAAU